ACCACUGCAGCGUUCAGAUCAUUAUUUCGACACCUUUAAACGUUAGUCAUUCAACGUGUAUAUUGUACAUUGACAGUAUAUUAUUAAUACGGUGAUACAAUGUAGAAGCGGCGACGCAGUGCGGAGCGCGAGCGUUUACCAGCGCCCUCGUGGCUUGGUGCUUGAACAAUCCGUACUCAAUCAACAACUGUACCAGCUGUGGCGUUAGGUUUUCAUUUCUAAUCUGAUGAUUAUUCAAUAUCAGGACUGAACUGGAUUUAUUUCUAGAGCGCAAAAAAUCCCAAUCGAGAUGUAGCAGCGCCUCGUCCCCCAAUGAAAAGGCCAAUCUCGCCCCCACAACGGAGAAGAGGAUAACAAUCCCCGUGAUUAAAAAAACCGCAGUACAAUCGAGCCACCUAAUCCGCCUUCCCCGGGCCCUCGGCUCUGCGGGGCCUUGACAAUUCGCUGUCGGUGCCGCCCGACCGGUGUCCACCAAUUACCUUUCUCGUCGCCGUAAUCGUGAGCACCCCAUCGGAGGAGAGGCUCGAGGUGACUCCCAGUGGGUCGUGCGUCGCAGGCAGCAAAUAACGUCUGACAAAGUGACGGCUAAUAAACCCGUGCUCAUCCUUCUUCUCUUCGUGCUUGGCCUCGACGAUAACAUUGUCAUCGACAGUCUUCACCCGAAUCUCAUCCGGCGAAAAUUGCUGCACAUCGAGUAUCACCUGAGUAAAAAAAAAAUCAUCAUCGGGUCAUUACAUCACCGCCCAAGACACCCGGAGACCAAGAGAAACUGAAUACUGAGUAGAAAAGGUUAGCGUUUGCAUCACCAGUACUUUUACUCUCCACAAAUAAGAGAAAUUUCGUAAACAUAAUUUACAUCGAUCUAGUCAUCUUUCACAUCUGCACGAGAGUCGGCAGAUUCCUGGGUCUUGCGAGGGCGCUCGCAGGGCGGCAGGCGUUGCGACAGGAGUUUCAAAAAAUCAGGGUUACGUUCAACUAAUCGAGGAAUAUCAAGGUCAUCUAGUAUUACACGCGCCUGCAUCAUUUACCAAAUAAUUCUCUGUAGUAUAUUGACUCUAAGAUGUAAUUACGACGUGCACCGACUUGUGUGAAUCUAUUUCGUAUCGUUACAACUAGCUGAUGAUGAUUUACUUGUGCGGAGUGUAUGCUGAAAGGAGGAAGGGCAUAUCUCCAUGUCACUUCAUUGAGAAUUACGAGUUUAUCAAGGACAGGGACAUGAGGGCCUCGCGCAUUCUGAGCGAUUACUAUCGGUUAAGAACUGAAAAUUGAGGGAAUUAUUUUUCAUUAUUUUUCUUUUCGAAUUGUCACUCCUGAUUUCGCUGACUCCGCAUGUAGGUAAUCACUCAGUAAUGCGUGUGUAGAGAGGAGAGGGAGAUUGAGAGAGAGAGAGAGUAAGAGAGAGAGAGCUGUUGACACCUUCGGUUGCGUCGUUUGUUGGCCGUCGGGGUUGUAACGCAUUUAUUUUUCUAUAUAUUGUAUUUAACAAGCCGAAGUUUAAUAGAGGGAAUAUUUAUCGUUGAAAAUAAGAACGAGGCCCCAGGGGGGUGCCCGGCGCUCCCAGGCCCCUGGACACGGCCCCAGACCGUGUGGCUUGACAAUAUUUUGCAAAGGGGAGAGACACUAAACAUCUUUUUGGGUUUUUAUCGAAGACUGAAUUUCCUGAAAAGAGAAGCAACUUUUUUUUAUAAAAAAUAGCAAAGUACUGGAUUUAAAAACAGAUAGUGAGAGUUAUCAAUUGUGAAAAAUAGCAGGUACAACUGUGAUUUUGUAAGCUGACGAUUUUACAUUUUCCCUUAGGCACUUGAGAUCUUUUCGAAAUUAUUGUACAUUCCGAAGAAAGUAUUCGAAAAUUCGUAAUUGUUGGUAUAACUCAAUAGUUUGGGAGAGACACAGCGCCCCCCUGUCUGAGGGGGGGGGUCAGCUCCACUGAAAUGCAAGAGAUUUUAUCGUUAAUGAGAGACUAGAGACAUCAAUUUCACGAAUCAUCUGACAAUGUAUCGAUCAUAAAUAUACUGUAUCAUCAACUAAUUGUAAAAUAGAUCAGGGAUCCGCCGAUUUUUUUUUAAAUGAAACACUUUCGAUGAGAGCGUGAGAAGGAUCGAGCCAUUAUUUUUUUUUUAUUGUAAAAAUUUUCGUUUACGAAUGCCAAAUCAUUUGAUUCGCGUCAUCAUCGAUCUGAGGGAUUAAAUUGUUCCGUCGAAUUCAUAAUCGAUAGAUUUGGAGGAUCGAAAUUACUUGUAAAUCAUCUUUCUCGUAUUGUCGACGACACUUAGUUAUAGAUCAGCGCUCAAAGUUAAUCGACUGCUGAGUUACAGGUGAAUACAAUAGAUUUAAGUCAUUGAGUGGUAGAGGAGUUGAGUUGGUGAGACGUUUUAUCCAGUUACCCUGACGAAUAAAUAAUCAACAGCAAAAAGAAAAUUUUUCAGUGAUAAAAGCAGCGCAUUAAAUCGAGAAGCCGUACUUAUUAGGUAACAAAAUAGAUCAUUCCUUCCAAUAGACGACUAAACAUCAACAAAUUGUUUUUUCGUGAAAUACAAAUACAAAUUACGAUUAAUUAGAGUCUGGAAUAAGCGCAAAGCUCACCAGGUGCUCCGAUUCUGAGGGAAUAACCUUCUGAGGGAAACUCGUGUCGUGGAAGUACUAUCGAGUGCGCCCAGUCGUACUUCAGUACUUCCACGACACGAUUUUUAUUAUAAAAAAAUCAAAACUGAGGGCUAAGGAAUUUUGAGGGAUUAUUUGUCAGCGAUUUUUGGAAAUCGCGAGUAUUCGGGGAUUUUUUAAAUUUAAUUCGCGUCUUUCGGGGGUCGGGGAUUAUAUCUACGAUUUGCAAGGUAUACUAUUAGCUUUUAAGUGAUUGAUUUUUAUCUCCACACCGUCUUUCCUCUUUUCUGUACGAAUUUUGUUGAAGAUUUUUCGUAACUAAAGUCAUUUUGCUGUUUAGAUUA